UACGAAGGGUGCAAACGUUGCUCGGAAUUAUUGGGCGUAAAGCGCACGUAGGCGGCUUCGCAAGUCGGAUGUGAAAUCCCUCGGCUCAACCGAGGACGUGCAUCCGAAACUGCGGAGCUUGAGUACUGAAGAGGAUCGCGGAAUUCCUGGUGUAGCGGUGAAAUGCGCAGAUAUCAGGAGGAACACCGGUGGCGAAGGCGGGUCUCUGGACAGUUCCUGACGCUGAGGCACGAAGGCCAGGGGAGCAAACGGG
rnacentral:rRNA from 1 species